rnacentral:rRNA from 1 species
UACGUAGGAUGCAAGCGUUGUCCGGAAUUAUUGGGCGUAAAGAGCGCGCAGGCGGUCUAUCAAGUCAGAUGUGAAAUAUCCCGGCUUAACCGGGAGGGGUCAUUUGAAACUGGUAGACUAGAGUACAGCAGAGGAUAGCGGAAUUCCCGGUGUAGUGGUGAAAUGCGUAGAUAUCGAGAGGAACACCUGCGGCGAAGGCGGGUUGCUGGGCUGACACUGACGCUGAGGCGCGAAAGCUAGGGGAGCGAACGGG